ACCGAAAGCUUUUGAGAAUGGUGAAUAGCGAUGGAGAACCUUUCCGACAACAAAAAAGGUGGACUAUUAGGUGAGGGAUCAGUUGAAGGUGGAACAUGAGCAAGGGGAGGAGCCAGUAUUUAUAAUGAGACUAACGGCCUGGAUCAACCUGACAGUUUGACACACCUAUUCGAGAUGCUAACACAUGUCAACCUCUGAUCAUCAUAGUAAUCCAUAGUGAUUACUGAAAAACGUGUGCUCUACCAUGUGUUG
rnacentral:lncRNA from 1 species